rnacentral:rRNA from 1 species
GAAUUACUGGGCGUAAAGCGUGCGCAGGCGGUUUGUUAAGACCGAUGUGAAAUCCCCGGGCUCAACCUGGGAACUGCAUUGGUGACUGGCAAGCUAGAGURUGGCAGAGGGGGGURGAAUUCCACGUGUAGCAGUGAAAUGCGUAGAKAUGUGGAGGAAYACCGAUGGCGAAGGCAGCCCCCUGGGCCAAUACUGACGCUCAUGCACGAAAGCGUGGGGAGCAAACAGGAUUAGAUACCCUGGUAGUCCACGCCCUAAACGAUGUCWACUAGUUGUUGGGGAUUCAUUUCCUUAGUAACGAAGCUAACGCGUGAAGUUGACCGCCUGGGGAGUACGGUCGCAAGAUUAAAACUCAAAGGAAUUGACGG